GAAUUGUGAUGAAGUUCAACCCUUUCUCAAUGAGUUCUCUGAAAAUCAAAAUAACAAUGUACCAGUAAAUCUUGAAGUUGUUGAAAAACAUUUUGGACAACAACGCCAUGGUCAUGUAUAUGGUUAUGGGGGUGGAGUGAAGCGGAAAAACUUUAAUGACAGUAAAUCUACUUAUAUCAAAGAGCUAGAGGCUAAACUCUAUGAAAAGGGUGAAGAAAAUCGUGACCUUAAGAGGCGCAUGGAUAUAUUUGAAAGUAGGUUGAUCCGAAUAGAGAAUGGAGAUUCACCAUCAGUUAUAACUACAACCGGUGAUGAUAUUCAACAGGGUGCUUAGAACUCAAGAUACGAACAUUGUUUCUUUUGACUUUAGUAUUAAGGUUAAUUCUAACACUGGUUAUUAUGUAUAGAAACCGUGUGCUUUUGGAUGAUGUGGCAAAGCUAUUGAUGAAAAAGAGCAUACCUAACACCACAUUGAAAGUAAACUCUUUUUGUAUGAAGUACAGUAGAUUGGACAUUUUUUU